rnacentral:tRNA from 1 species
GCCUGGCUGGUUUAGUUAGAAGAGCAUGUGACUUUUGAUCUUGGGGUUGUGAGUUUGAGCCUCACAUCAGGUG